UGGGGAAUAUUGCACAAUGGGCGCAAGCCUGAUGCAGCCAUGCCGCGUGUAUGAAGAAGGCCUUCGGGUUGUAAAGUACUUUCAGCGGGGAGGAAGGUGUUGUGGUUAAUAACCGCAGCAAUUGACGUUACCCGCAGAAGAAGCACCGGCUAACUCCGUGCCAGCAGCCGCGGUAAUACGGAGGGCGCAAGCGUUAAUCGGAAUUACUGGGCGUAAAGCGCACGCAGGCGGUCUGUCAAGUCGGAUGUGAAAUCCCCGGGCUCAACCUGGGAACUGCAUUCGAAACUGGCAGGCUAGAGUCUUGUAGAGGGGGGUAGAAUUCCAGGUGUAGCGGUGAAAUGCGUAGAGAUCUGGAGGAAUACCGGUAGCGAAGGCGGCCCCCUGGACAAAGACUGACGCUCAGGUGCGAAAGCGUGGGGAGCAAACA
rnacentral:rRNA from 1 species